CCCUUAGAUGUUCUGGGCGGCCCGCGCACUACAAUGGCGUGUGCAGCGAGUGCCGAAGUAGAGUUUUCCGAGGUAUUCUUGCAAUGCUCGUUUUGAUGGGGAUAGACCCUUGCAACUGUUGGUUUUGAACGAGGAAUUCCUUGUAAGCAUGGUUUAUCAUCCGACGCUGAAUGCGUCCCUGCCCUUUGUACACACCGCCCGUCGCUCCUACCGAUGAGUCGUCCGGUGAAGUUCGUAGACCUCGUGAUCGCGGAUCACUGGGGGAAGCAAAAUGAACCUCGCGGUGUAGAGGAAGGAGAAGUCGUAACA
rnacentral:rRNA from 1 species